rnacentral:lncRNA from 1 species
GUCCUCAUCAAGUACUGCUGUCCUCCAAAUCCUGUUGGAUGUGUCAGCCUAGCAGUAAAAGAAAACAUCUCUCAAGAGCAGACACACCACAAGUUCUGUCAUGUAGAAUUUCAUAGAAUCAUAGAAUGGUUUGGCCUGGAAUGGACCUUAGAGAAUAUCUUGUUUCAACCCUCUGCCAUGGCCGGGGACACCUUCCACUAGACCAGAUUACUCACAGCCCAUCCAGCCUGGUCUUGGACACUUCCAGGAUGGUGUUUCCACAACUUCUCUGGGCACCUGUUCCAGUGCCUCAUCACCCUCACAAUGAAGAAUUUCUUCCUGGUAUCUAAUCUAAACCUAUUCUCUUUCAGUUCAAAGCCAUUACCCUUUGUCCUUUUACUUCAUGUCCUUGAAAAAGAUCUCUUGUAACCCCUUUUAGGCACUGGAAGGUCCUGUAAGGUCUCCCCAGAGCCUCUGCUUCUCCAAACUGAACAACUCAAACUCUCUCAGCCUGUCUCCACGGGAGACGUGCUCCAGCCCUCUGGUCAUCAAACUAUACAAGGACUAAAAAAGUGAAGUCAGUCCAUGCCUCCUACAGCACACCCUAUGGGAUGCUAUAGGACACCAGUCACAUAAAACAUCUGAAAUGUUCCCAUCUGAAUCCAAGCCUUAGCAGAGAUACCCUGGCAUGGCCUGCUCCACAGCUCUCAUUCCGCACUCAGCAGCAGGAUGCGAAACAACAAUUACAUUGUGAAAUGUCAUGGGUCUACUGGGAAGCAAAAACACAUCAAUAUUGUCUCCUGGUUGCAUUGAGCCAUGAUGAUUUUGCUUGACUGCAUGCCUGGAUGAAACAACAGAGAACACAAACAGAGAUGGGGCCAGAGCUUGCAUGUGCACUAGUUUAUCUUCCUGCCUUUCCAGUGCACCCAUCGCAGCAGCGUCUGGGUGAUAAGUGUGUCUCUUUGCAAAACAGGAAGACCGUGGGCUGGCUGGCUUCUCUGAUGAGCUAUAAAUUACAGGGGUUUACCUGGCUGUCAGCCUCGCUGUGCACUAGUAGAGAGAGAGAAAAUAACUAUUCUCCUCAUGCUGGAGGUGAGGAGUAA